AUGCGCCGAUCCCUUUUUGUGAAAAUUGUUGAAGCUUGCGAGGCAAAUUGCCGGUAUUUCACUCAGAGAAGGAAUGCCGCGGGUUUGAAGGGAUUUAGUGCAUAUCAAAAAAUCUCCGCAGCUAUGCGGGUGAUUGCAUAUGGCGUUCCGGCUGACUAUGCCGAUGAGUAUCUUCGCAUUGGUGAAGAUAGCACAAUUGAGUCUGUGCGUAGAUUUGCGAAAGUGAUCGUCCGUGUCUUUGGUCCCGAGUAUCUUCGGGCACCAAAUGAAGAUGACACAAAGAAAUUGAUGGCAGCUAAUGAGAGGAGAGGUUGGCCUGGGAUGCUAGGUAGCAUUGAUUGUAUGCAUUGGAAUUGGAAAAAUUGCCCCAAGGCUUGGCAAGGAAUGUAUUGUGGCAAGUCUCGUGAUGCAACAAUUGUGCUAGAGGCCGUAGCAUCCGAGGAUUUAUGGAUUUGGCAUUGCUUUUUUGGUAUGCCCGGCACACUCAAGGAUAUCAAUGUGUUGCAACGCUCUCAUUUGUUUGCUAGGCUUGCUAGUGGUGAUGCUCCUACUUGCAACUACACUAUCAAUGGGCAUGAAUACACAAAGGGGUACUAUCUUGCAGAUGGUAUAUAUCCUCCUUGGUGCACAUUUGUCAAGAGCAUCAAAGAACCCAAAACAAAAAAACAAUGUGAAUUUGCAAGGGUGCAGGAGGCAGCCCGAAAAGACAUUGAAAGAGCAUUCGGUGUUUUGCAAUCUAGGUUUGCCAUUGUCCGAGGUCCUGCUCGUUUUUGGGAUAAGAAAACCCUGAAGAACAUCAUGACUUGCUGUGUUAUCCUGCACAAUAUGAUUCUUGAAGAUGAGAGAGGAAUGGACUUAGAAUUCUUUUACGAUAAUGUGGGUAGCCGUGUCAAACCAGCUAGAGACCCAAACCGCAUUAGAGCUUUUCUUCAGACAUACAAAGAGAUUGAAAAUGCAGACACACACUUUCAACUUUAG
rnacentral:rRNA from 1 species